CAUCGUUUGCGGAGUUUAUGGAUCCUGACAAAUCAGUAAUUUGCCCAUUCGGCUCACCGCCUUCUCCCGCCAUAUCGAGAUUUCGAUCGGGUCUCUCUACUCAUCACCCUUUACAGGAAUGGAGAUUUUUAUGUACGCAGAAUAUCUUCGAUGUUGGAGAUAUCAAUAAAUUUUAAUAAGGUUUAACUUCAAUUCAUAUGUAAAGAAAAAGGAGUUUUAACGUGA